UACGUAGGGUGCAAGCGUUAAUCGGAAUUACUGGGCGUAAAGCGUGCGCAGGCGGUUAUGCAAGACAGAUGUGAAAUCCCCGGGCUCAACCUGGGAACUGCAUUUGUGACUGCAUAGCUAGAGUACGGUAGAGGGGGAUGGAAUUCCGCGUGUAGCAGUGAAAUGCGUAGAUAUCUGGAGGAACACCGGUGGCGAAGGCGGCAUCCUGGACCAACACUGACGCUGAGUGAGCGAAAGCCAGGGGAGCAAACGGG
rnacentral:rRNA from 1 species